rnacentral:rRNA from 1 species
AUUGAACGCUGGCGGCAGGCUUAACACAUGCAAGUCGAGCGGGGAAAGGUAGCUUGCUACCGGACCUAGCGGCGGACGGGUGAGUAAUGCUUAGGAAUCUGCCUAUUAGUGGGGGACAACAUCUCGAAAGGGAUGCUAAUACCGCAUACGUCCUAUGGGAGAAAGCAGGGGAUCUUCGGACCUUGCGCUAAUAGAUGAGCCUAAGUCGGAUUAGCUAGUUGGUGGGGUAAAGGCCUACCAAGGCGACGAUCUGUAGCGGGUCUGAGAGGAUGAUCCGCCACACUGGGACUGAGACACGGCCCAGACUCCUACGGGAGGCAGCAGUGGGGAAUAUUGGACAAUGGGGGGAACCCUGAUCCAGCCAUGCCGCGUGUGUGAAGAAGGCCUUAUGGUUGUAAAGCACUUUAAGCGAGGAGGAGGCUACUUUAGCUAAUACCUAGAGAUAGUGGACGUUACUCGCAGAAUAAGCACCGGCUAACUCUGUGCCAGCCGCCGCAGUAA